rnacentral:rRNA from 1 species
CAGCCGUAAACGAUGCUCGCUAGGUGUCAGGCAUGGCGCGACCGUGUCUGGUGCCGCAGGGAAGCCGUGAAGCGAGCCACCUGGGAAGUACGGCCGCAAGGCUGAAACUUAAAGGAAUUGGCGGGGGAGCACAACAACGGGUGGAGCCUGCGGUUUAAUUGGACUCAACGCCGGACAACUCACCGGGGGCGACAGCAAUAUGUAGGCCAAGCUGAAGACUUUUCCUGAAUCGAGG